ensembl:lncRNA
GCUCAGGGAGGAGAGGUAGGCAGGGUCUCAGGUCCUAGCUCUAGGAGCCUUUGGAAGAAAGGGAAGUUCUUGCGAUCUCAGCUGGACUGGGCAGGGUAGGGCUCCCUGGAUUGGGAAUAUCAGAGUGGGCCGACUGAAAGCGUGAGCCCUUGGAACUGAGAUCAACCUGCCUCCUUCCUCUGGAGCUGUGGUUGCUCUAUCUUUCUUUGAAGCUGAGAUCAUUCUGCCUUCCGGAAGCCAGCUCUGUGCAUGCAAGUCCUAGGUCGCCCUCCUGCCUAGGAAGAGAAGGGAAAGACAUCUCCAUCUGUGGAGCCAGCUGAGCCUGCAGAGGACCAAGGCCUGACCCAGCAGGGAGCCUGGAGCCAGAGGGAAUGGCCCCCGGGAGCCGCAGACCCCCAGCCCAGAUUCUCUCACCAUUAGGAGAGGAUUCCAAUGAUGGAGGAUGGCCAGAGAAAAUGCCCUGCCCAGAGAGAUGGAAUGUCUUCUUCUGGAGUAGCAAGGAGGCCAGGGUCAUUGGACCCAUGAGUGGUGGCAGGAAAUCAGGUGUAAGGAGACCCGAAUACCAGGCUAUGUCCAGGUCAUGAUGGGCUUUCAAUGCAAGACAAUUUGUAUUUGAUCCUGGAGGUGGUAGGGAGCCAUUGGAGUUUAUAGAGCAGAGGAGUCAUAUGAUCAGACCUGUAGUUGAGGGAAAUUACUUUGUGGACCAAAUGGAGGACGCAUUGGAGUGGAGGCAGCCUUGAGGCCGGCUGACCCAGAAGCAGGCUACCGCAGCAGUCUGAGGGUCAGAUGAUGAGGACCUGCAGUAUCGGAAGGGAGAAGAGGGCGGGUUUGAGAGAUGUUGCAAGGUACAAUCCACAGGCCUUGGCAUCAGAUCAGAUAAUGGGGGAGAGAAAUGGGAGUUGAGGAUGAUGCCUGGAUUGCUGGAAGCAUGGUGUUGCCUUUGACAGUAAGAGGGAAGGUGGUGGUGACCUGGUGAGUUUCUGCUACUGGACAUCAUGGUGGUGAUGUCUGAAAGGAGGCUGGGAGCAGAGUUGGCUCAGGUUGAACGGCUUCAGUUUUUAAGGUAAAAUAAGGGGUGGGUACUGGAAUGAGAGGGAUUGGGUCUUCAAUGGUCCAUCAAUAGUAAGCACCUACUGUGUGCCAGGCCAUGUGCCAAGGGGCUGGAAAUUCAAAUUUAAAAUGAGAGCCAGUUCCUGCCCUCACAGAGCCUAUGAUCUAAUGUGGGAAGACACCAGGCAGAAGGAAGCUGAAAAAUGGAGAAGGAUGGCAGAAGGUCCCAGCCCCUGGGGUGCAGUGAAGUCAAUGAGAAAUGCCAAAGGAGUGUAGCAGGUGAGAAAUGAGGAGUGUUGGAGCUGAGUUCUUCUCUUAAAUGGCCCCACCCUCUAAUCAGAGAGGCAGAGGGUAGUGAUGACUGAUGAGACAUUACGGGCGUAUGAGGUUAUCCCAGUAAGAGACUAUGGUACAUGGCAGAUGAAUCAGUCAAAGAAGUCUCAAAGGUAGAGCAGCUAGGUGAGGAAUGAGAGGAAUGAGCUGAGCCCUCUCCUUAAAUGGAUGUUUGAAGUUCACGGCCCCACCCCACACUGGUGAAGGAUGGUGUGGGAAGAGAGAAAAAAGUUUGGAAUAGAAGGAAAAGAAGUUUGGAAAUUUCUGUUGGGAGUGAGUUAGGAAUUUUAAUUAUCGAUCAACAAAGGACUGCCUUCCUUCAGUGACAGCGUGGGCCCUGUGAAUAAAUUUUAUGAAAUGAAGAACA